rnacentral:rRNA from 1 species
UACGGAGGAUGCGAGCGUUAUCCGGAUUUAUUGGGUUUAAAGGGUGCGUAGGCGGGCUUUUAAGUCAGCGGUAAAAAUUCGGGGCUCAACCCCGUCCGGCCGUUGAAACUGGGGGCCUUGAGUGGGCGAGAAGAAGGCGGAAUGCGUGGUGUAGCGGUGAAAUGCAUAGAUAUCACGCAGAACCCCGAUUGCGAAGGCAGCCUUCCGGCGCCCUACUGACGCUGAGGCACGAAAGUGCGGGGAUCAAAUAGG